UUCUUGGUAGCUUAGUGUAGGCGAUAGAUUUUUAAUCUGUAGACGGAUAAUUUCCCCAAGGAA
rnacentral:tRNA from 1 species